GACAGCCAGGAUGUUGGCUUAGAAGCAGCCAUCAUUUAAAGAAAGCGUAAUAGCUCACUGGUCGAGUCGGCCUGCGCGGAAGAUGUAACGGGGCUAAACCAUGCACCGAAGCUGCGGCAGCGACACUGUGUGUUGUUGGGUAGGGGAGCGUUCUGUAAGCCUGCGAAGGUGUACUGUGAGGUAUGCUGGAGGUAUCAGAAGUGCGAAUGCUGACAUAAGUAACGAUAAAGCGGGUGAAAAGCCCGCUCGCCGGAAGACCAAGGGUUCCUGUCCAACGUUAAUCGGGGCAGGGUGAGUCGACCCCUAAGGCGAGGCCGAAAGGCGUAGUCGAUGGGAAACAGGUUAAUAUUCCUGUACUUGGUGUUACUGCGAAGGGGGGACGGAGAAGGCUAUGUUGGCCGGGCGACGGUUGUCCCGGUUUAAGCGUGUAGGCUGGUUUUCCAGGCAAAUCCGGAAAAUCAAGGCUGAGACGUGAUGACGAGGCACUACGGUGCUGAAGCAACAAAUGCCCUGCUUCCAGGAAAAGCCUCUAAGCAUCAGGUAACAUCAAAUCGUACCCCAAACCGACACAGGUGGUCAGGUAGAGAAUACCAAGGC
rnacentral:rRNA from 1 species